UCAAGCUAAAAAGGGCGCAAGGUGAAUGCCUUGGCACUGGGAGCCGAUGAAAGACGUGGUAAGCUGCGAAAAGCUUCGGGGAGGAGCAAACAUCCAUUGAUCCGGAGAUAUCUGAAUGGGGCAACCCAAUGGAGUUCAUACUCCAUUAUCCAAUACUGAAUCCAUAGGUAUUGGAAGGGAACCGCCUGAACUGAAACAUCUAAGUAGGGCGAGGAAGAGACAUCAAACGAGAUUCCGUAAGUAGUGGCGAGCGAACGCGGAAGAGGGCAAACCGAGAGUAGAAAUACUUUCGGGGUACGGACUGCUUUUAAGACUUAAUCUGUUAACCGAACGGCAUGGGAAGGCCGGUCAGAGAGUGUGAGAACCACGUAGGUGAAAACGGAGAGAGCUGCGCAGGAUCCAGAGUACGGCCAGACACGUGAAACCUGGUCGGAAUACGGGGGGACCACCCUCCAACCCUAAAUACUACCCAGUGACCGAUAGCGUAUAGUACUGUGAAGGAAAGGUGAAAAGCACCCCGGGAGGGGAGUGAAAAAGAACCUGAAACCCUGUGCCUACAAGCACCUAGAGCGCGUCAAAGCGUGAUAGGGUACUUUUUGUAGAACGGUCCGGCGAGCGAUUGUAUGCAGCAAGGUUAAGGACUUAAGGUCUGGAGCCGAAGCGAAAGCGAGUUUGAAAAGGGCGUUAAGUUGCAUAUAAUGGGCCCGAAACCGGGUGACCUACCCAUGGUCAGGUUGAAGUGGAAGUAAAAUUCCAUGGAGGACCGAACCGACCUCCGUUGAAAAGGCGGCGGAUGAACUGUGGGUAGCGGAGAAAUUCCAAUCGAACCCGGAGAUAGCUGGUUCUCCCCGAAAUAGUUUUAGGACUAGCCUCAAGUUAGAUACCUGGAGGUAAAGCACUGAAUAGCCUAGCGGCCGAGAGGUUAGCGAAGCUUAUCAAACUCAGAAUGCCAGAGUAUUGAUGCUUGGGAGUCAGACAGUGUCAGAUAAAUGUCAUUGUCAAAAGGGAAACAGCCCAGAUCUACAGCUAAGGUCCCAAAGUCAGGUUAAGUGGAAAACGAUGUGAAGAUACGCAGACAACCAGGAUGUUGGCUCAGAAGCAGCCACUCAUUCAAAGAGUGCGUAAUAGCUCACUGGUCGAGCGUCUUUGCGCGGAGAAUUUAACGGGGCUAAACCUGACACCGAAGCUUAGGCAAUACAGCAAUGUAUUGGGUAGGGGAGCGUUGUAUACGCGGUGAAACAGUAGCGCAAGCGGCUGUGGAGUGUAUAGAAGUGAGAAUGCCGGAAUGAGUAGCGCGAAUGCAGUGAGAAUCUGCAUGGCCGAAAGCCUCAGGUUUCUGGAGGAAGGUUCGUCCGCUCCAGGUUAGUCGGGAGCUAAGGUGAGGCCUAACGGCGUAGCCGAUGCACAGACGGUAGAGAUUCCGUCACCACCAAAAGAGUUAAACACAGGGACACAUAUGAAGUCUCGGAGCCGGGUGUUGGUUCCGGUAGCGAUCGAGGGAAGUUAGUACCGAAGUCCGAGAUGGAAGAUGGCGAGAAAAGCUGUGUGUAUUUCUGCGGUGCCCGUACCGCAAACCGACACAGGUAGGUAGGAAGAAGAUUCUAAGGCCAACGGGAGAAGGGUUGUUAAGGAACUCGGCAAAUUGACCCCGUAACUUCGGGAGAAGGGGUGCUCCAGAGAUGGAGCCGCAGAGAAUCGGCCCAAGCAACUGUUUACCAAAAACACAGGUUUGUGCUAAAUCGAAAGAUGACGUAUACGAGCUGACGCCUGCCCGGUGCUGGAAGGUUAAGAGGAGAUGUGCAAGCAUUGAAUCGAAGCCCCAGUGAACGGCGGCCGUAACUAUAACGGUCCUAAGGUAGCGAAAUUCCUUGUCAGGUAAG
rnacentral:rRNA from 1 species